CCAGACAGCCAGGAUGUUGGCUUAGAAGCAGCCAUCAUUUAAAGAAAGCGUAAUAGCUCACUGGUCGAGUCGGCCUGCGCGGAAGAUGUAACGGGGCUAAACCAUGCACCGAAGCUGCGGCAGCGACACUAUGUGUUGUUGGGUAGGGGAGCGUUCUGUAAGCCUGCGAAGGUGUGCUGUGAGGCAUGCUGGAGGUAUCAGAAGUGCGAAUGCUGACAUAAGUAACGAUAAAGCGGGUGAAAAGCCCGCUCGCCGGAAGACCAAGGGUUCCUGUCCAACGUUAAUCGGGGCAGGGUGAGUCGACCCCUAAGG
rnacentral:rRNA from 1 species